GUUAUUGUAGCUUAUCCUUAAAGCACGGCACUGAAAAUGCCAUGAUGGGAAUCUUCGAUUCUCCAAAAACA
rnacentral:tRNA from 1 species